UCAUCAGAGCUUCUGGACAGUGACGCCCUC
rnacentral:piRNA from 1 species